rnacentral:rRNA from 1 species
AUUGAACGCUGGCGGCAGGCUUAACACAUGCAAGUCGAACGAGUGGCGGACGGGUGAGUAAUGUAUGGGGACUGCCCGCUAGAGGGGGAUAACUACUGGAAACGGUGGCUAAUACCGCAUACUAUCGGAUAACCCAUAUGGGUUUAGCUAGUAGGUGUGGUAAAGGCUCACCUAGGCGACGAUCUCUAGCUGGUCUGAGCGGAUGAUAGGCAAAACUGGGACGGAGACACGGCCCAGGCUCCUACGGAGGCAGCAGUGGGGAAUAUUGCACAAUGGGCGCAACCCUGAUGCAGCCAUGCCGCGUGUAUGAAGAAGGCCUUAGGGUUGUAAAGUACUUUCAGCGGGGAGGCGUUACCCGCAGAAGAAGCACCGGCUAACUCCGUGCCAGCCGCCGCGGUAAUUC